rnacentral:rRNA from 1 species
UACGGAGGGUGCGAGCGUUGUCCGGAAUCACUGGGCGUAAAGGGCGCGUAGGCGGCCCGGUAAGUAGGGGGUGAAAUCUUGCGGCUUAACCGCAAGGCUGCCUUCUAAACUGCCAGGCUCGAGCACAGUAGAGGCAGGUGGAAUUCCCGGUGUAGCGGUGGAAUGCGUAGAUAUUGGGAGGAACACCAGUGGCGAAGGCGGCUCACUGGACCGGUACUGACGCUGAUGCGCGAAAGCGUGGGGAGCAAACGGG